CCCUUAGACGUUCUGGGCCGCACGCGCGCUACACUGACGAAGGCAACGAGCUUUCCUUUACCGAAAGGUACGGGUAAUCUUUUGAAACUUCGUCGUGCUGGGGAUAGAUCCUUGCAAUUUUUGAUCUUAAACGAGGAAUUCCUAGUAAGCGCAAGUCAUCAGCUUGCGUCGAUUACGUCCCUGCCCUUUGUACACACCGCCCGUCGCUCCUACCGAUUGGGUGUGCUGGUGAAAUGUUCGGAUCGGCCGUUUGUCGCGGUUUCCGCGUCAUGUGGCUGAGAAGUUCAUUAAACCCUCCCACCUAGAGGAAGGAGAAGUCGUAACA
rnacentral:rRNA from 1 species